rnacentral:rRNA from 1 species
AUUGAACGCUGGCGGCAGGCCUAACACAUGCAAGUCGAGCGAGCGGCGGACGGGUGAGUAAUGUAUGGGGACUGCCCGUUAGAGGGGGAUAACUACUGGAAACGGUAGCUAAUACCGCAUACUAUCGGAUAACCCAUAUGGGAUUAGCUAGUAGGGGUGGUAAUGGCUCACCUUGGCGACGCUCGCUAGCUGGUCUGAGAGGAUGAUCAGGCACACUGGUAAUGAGACACGUGCCAGACGCCUACGGAGGCAGCAGUGGGGAAUAUUGGACAAUGGGCGCAAGCCUGAUGCAGCCAUGCCGCGUGUGUGAAGAAGGCCCUAGGGUUGUAAAGGACUUUCAGUCGGGAGGCGUUACCGACAGAAGAAGCACCGGCUAACUACGUGCCAGCAGCCGCGGUAAUUC